CAGUCGCCGCGGUAAUACGGAGGGUGCGAGCGUUAAUCGGAAUUACUGGGCGUAAAGCGCACGUAGGCGGAUAUUUAAGUCAGGGGUGAAAUCCCAGAGCUCAACUCUGGAACUGCCUUUGAUACUGGGUAUCUUGAGUAUGGAAGAGGUGAGUGGAAUUCCGAGUGUAGAGGUGAAAUUCGUAGAUAUUCGGAGGAACACCAGUGGCGAAGGCGGCUCACUGGUCCAUUACUGACGCUGAGGUGCGAAAGCGUGGGGAGCAAACAGGAUUAGAUACCCCUGUAGUCCCUGUCUCUUAUAC
rnacentral:rRNA from 1 species